AAAAAGUGCCACCACUAACACCUGCCUCGUUGGGUCUGUCUCUCUUGAAACCAUCAUUCAGACUGUUCAUUUUAUAGCAACACAUUGAUCCAGUCAUUAAUAAAUCAAUGUAUGGAUCACCUCCAAUUGAAAGGAAAUAAACUGGAUCUCCACCGCAGCAGUUUUACCUUGGAUUGAGCAAAGAUUUCUUCAACUUUUCUGAGAACUAUUUGAAGAGGCAUGACUAAUUCCGAUCCAGAAAUGAAAGACCAAACCACAUCCUCCUUUGUCGUCUUGACUGUCUUCUUCAUCCUGGUCACCCUCGUUGUCGUCCUGGUCGUCCUGUACAUGUGGCUAAACCGCCAGACUAAUGGCCAGUACACAGUCCACCAACUGGUCCUUGGGGAGGAGGUGUGGUUCAGGCGUCGCCUUUGGCCUCUCAGUGAGGAUGAGGAGACUGUAGGAGAGGAGGAACAGAGAGACAAAGAGGAGGAUGUAGAGAGAGUGAGUGAGGGAGGGGAAAGCAAGGGGGAGGGGAAGAAGGAGGAGGGGGAUGAGAGGGAGGGCCGAGUGGAUGACUCUUCGGAUGAGUACUCCAGUGAGGAGGACUGUGGCCUGACGGAGAGUGUGAAGGUCAUGGACGAGAAGAAGGAGAGGAGAGAGUGUGAGGGGAAGCGAGAGGAGAAUAUGGAAGAAAAUGGGGAUAGCAAAGGUGAUGAGGGAGCAGUGGGAGGAGAAGAAAGUGGACAGGGAGGUUUGCUGAUACACCUGCAUCAGUCCUCUGGUAGUGCUAUCUGGUCUGAAGAUUAUGAGGGAGGCAAAGACAACAAUCAUGUGACUGCAUUGUGAGGAAAGGAUCAGAAAGGGGAAAGAGUUCCAUUAAUACAUUUUUGUACAGUAAUAGCGCUUGACAGAACAUUGGCUACUUGUCAUCAUCACCAUCAUUGUCAUAAUUGUCAUAAUUGUAAACCUUACAAACCAGUGUUAUAACAAUCAAGGCAGAAAACAACAGAGUGUACUAAAUCAAUCCAAUCAUCAAAGUGACUGACAAGAGCAACAAUUGCAGCUUGAAUACAUGAAGCUAUAUAAAUGUAUUUUAGAUAUAAAAUAUAAUUUUUAAACGGUAUCAAAGUUUCAUGGGUUUCAAAGUUUUGGGGUUUGCACUGUUGCUAUGAGAUAAUUUGUAUUGUAAAUAUUUGUGUUCUGUAUAUUUUAUGAAUUUAAUAGCUAUUUAGAUCCUUCUUCCUGGAGAUCUACUGUCCUGUAGGUUUUCAGUCUAAUCCUAAUUUAGCAUAUCUGAUUCAGCUAGUUAAGGUAUUGUUGAGCAGCUAAUUCGUAGAAUCAGGUCUGUUAAAUUAGGGUUGGACUGAAAACCCACAGGAAGGUAGAUCUCCAGGAAGAGGGUUGUGCAGCCCUGGCCUAUGGCUUGACUUUGUGCUAUACUGUUUCAUGUCUUAUGUGCAUGAUGUUUAUUUCCAGAGUGACAAUUUUAUACUUUUUAUUAUCUGAUACAACUUAAAGGCCCAGUGCAGUCAAAAUUAUGUUUUGUCUCAUGUUGUACAGCAACUCAUGGAACAAACACUGUAAAAGUGUGAAAAGAUUUGAUCAGUGUUAUUCCUGAUAGUUGCUGGUGGAAAAUACAAUCUACACAGGGCCUUUACAUUUUUAUUUUUGAUGAGAGACUGUUACAGAGGAGUGUAAAUGUUUUUUAAGGCUGGAACAUGUUGUUGAAUCGUAUUGUUGUAUGUUGUAAUUCUGUAAUGUAUUGAUUGUUGUUGCCUUUUUGGCCAGGUCUCCAUUGAAAAAGAGGGUCUUAAUGUGCUUUUCCUGGUUAAAUGAAGGUUAAGAACAUUUUUUUAAAUCAGCAGGUUUGCAUGGCAUUCCCCUCCCACUCAGACCACUUCCUGACAGUCCUAGCAAAAUUCUUGCCUGAGAAUUUUUUGUUGUUGCAAAAAGGCUAUUGUUGUCCAUUUUAAUGAAAAACUAUUAUAGUAAGGUUCUUAAUUGUUACCCAGAAGUAAUUUGAUAUUGAUAUAAAAACGGUUGCAUGAGGCUUUUAAGUGUUUGCGCUGAUGUGAUUAUAUUGUCUGUUUCCUUUUCUUAAAACUGCAUUGUUGGUUAAGGGCUUGUAAGCAAGCAAUUCACUGUUGUAUUCGGCGCAUGUGAUAAAUAAUAUUUGAUUUGAUUUAAUUUGAUUGAUAGUUUUUUGUUGAAAUAAAAAAAAUAUUUUC
ensembl:lncRNA